UCUAGAGGCUUCGGCAAUGGGGGCAACCCUGACCGAGCGACGCCGCGUGUGGGAUGAAGCCCUUCGGGGUGUAAACCGCUGUCAGUAGGGAAGAAUGCCGGGAAAGUGAUUCCCGGAGUGACGGUACCUGCAGAGGAAGCCACGGCUAACUCCGUGCCAGCAGCCGCGGUAAGACGGAGGUGGCAAGCGUUAUUCGGAUUUAUUGGGCGUAAAGGGCGCGUAGGCGGUUUGGUAAGUCUGAUGUGAAAUCUCCAUCGCUCAACGAGGAGUCUGCAUCAGAUACUGCCAUUCUUGAGUACUGGAUAGGUAAGUGGAAUUCCUGGUGUAGCGGUGGAAUGCGUAGAUAUCAGGAGGAACACCUGUGGCGAAAGCGGCUUACUGGCCAGUAACUGACGCUGAGGCGCGAAAGCGUGGGUAGCAAACA
rnacentral:rRNA from 1 species